AAAAGAAAAUGUUGCCAGUUGAUGGGGAAGAAAGGAAGUCGGAGGGCUCAGACACUGAGGGGGACAGAACAUCUCCAUGUGCAGUCUCAUCUCUUAUAGUCAGCAACAGGUAUCCACGGGGAGGGCCCUACAUCAUCUGCUACCCUGAAGGAUCUGGAGGUAGGAGGCUCUGGGCGGAGGUGCAGUGACCCCGCAGGCCAGCCCUCCAACCUCCUCCCGCAGCGGGGACUGGGUGCCCCUCUGCCAGCUGAGACAGCCCACACACAACCCAGCCCUAAUGAUCGUUCUCUCUACCUCUCCCCCAAGUCCUCCUCCGCCUCCUCCUCUCUGCAUGCGCGUCAGAGCCCGUGCCAAGAACAAGCAGCAGUCCUGAACUCGAGGUCCAUAAAAAUCAGUCGACUGAAUGACACCAUCAAAUCUUUGGUAAGAAAGAAACAAGUGGAACAUCAGCUGGAAGAAGUAACCAAACAAUGAGAAACAGAAAGCUGAAAGGGAGCUAGAGGGUCAAAUCCAGAGAUUGAACACAG
rnacentral:lncRNA from 1 species